UAACGAAUCUUCCGCAAUGCGCGAAAGCGUGACGGGGCAAUGCCGCGUGCAGGAUGAAGCCUUUCGGGGUGUAAACUGCUGUCAGGGUUUAGGAACACAAUGACCAGACCCAAAGGAAGAGCCGGCUAACUCUGUGCCAGCAGCCGCGGUAAUACAGAGGGCUCGAGCGUUAAUCGGAAUCACUGGGCUUAAAGCGUGCGUAGGCGGGUGUGCAGGCACCUUGUGAAAUCCCACGGCUCAACCGUGGAAUCGCUUGGUGAACCGCACACCUUGAGGCAGGUAGGGGUGGCUGGAACGAUAGGUGGAGCGGUGAAAUGCGUAGAUAUCUAUCGGAACGCCAAAGGAGAAGUCAGGCCACUGGGCCUGUCCUGACGCUGAGGCACGAAAGCGUGGGGAGCAAACG
rnacentral:rRNA from 1 species